CAUAGACCUAUGUACAUAAAUACAUACAAAUGGAUAAAGGGAGAAGAAAAAAAAUAAAUAUGCUUGAAAUGCAAGAAAUAAAAUGCAGUUACAUGUCACUUCUCAUUCCUCCACCAUCCAGUCUUUUUAUUUUCAAGUGGCAUUUUGUGGAGUGAAGGGAACCUUUGUUUCUAAGGGCCAUGUUCUCUUGGUACUUCUCUAUAGGUUUUGUGUAGUUUUUCAGGAACCAGUAUAUAUCUCCUUUCUACCUCUAUCGUUUUUCAGCAAUAUUAUUUUGCCUAGUUUUUGCAAUAUUAUUUUGACCACUCCAGGAAACAACAUAACCCUAUUUUCUUAUCUGUUUGCCUAGAGAAUAGAGUUGGAAAUAGCCAGGUAGCCCUCUUAACAGGACCAGUGACAUAAUAUGUAAAACAAAAAUGGAGGACCCUUGUUUAAAAUGUACAAAGAAUUUCAAGAUGGCAAGAAUGGAGCGUUAAGCCAAGCUUAGAACCCUUCUAAUCCUGGAGCCCUGUUGAGCUGGCUCUGAGUAUUAGUUUUGAAUUGAGUGUGACUGGUGAAAGUAUUUUGCAUCCUAUAGAUUUUAUUGCUGAAUGAAUAUAUAUUCCAUUCUCCAAGGUCAUCUUCCAGUGUGCCAUUCACACUCCCCUAUCAAGAAGUCAGAUCUGUUUCUUCCCCUUAAACCCUGAGAAAACAUCUGUCAUUGCUUUGAACAACAUAUGCUUCUUUCUAUCUCCCCUUCUGCUCUGCAAUCCUCACUUCACACACUUUGGGACCUCUGCGCUGUCAAGUAAGAAGUCCGCUUACCCUGAAAUUGCUGUGUUGGAAAGAUCAUGUGAAGAGACUGCAGAUGUUACUGCUUCCAGCUGUUCUGGUUGUCCCAGAAGAGCCAUCUUGUGAAUAUAGAAGCCAUGGAGAUGACCCAGCUUCAGCUAUAAACUGACUACAAUCUCAUGAGAAAACAACAAACUAG
rnacentral:lncRNA from 1 species